CUACGGGUUGCUGCAGUGGGGAAUAUUGGACAAUGGGCGCAAGCCUGAUCCAGCAAUGCCGCGUGAGUGACGACGGCCUUAGGGUUGUAAAACUCUUUCGCUAGGGAAGAUAAUGACUGUACCUAGUAAAGAAGUCCCGGCUAACUCCGUGCCAGCAGCCGCGGUAAUACGGAGGGGACUAGCGUUGUUCGGAAUUACUGGGCGUAAAGAGUUCGUAGGCGGACUGACAAGUUAGAGGUGAAAUCCCAGGGCUCAACCCUGGAACUGCCUUUAAAACUGUCAGUCUAGAGACCGGAAGAGGUUAGGGGAAUACCUAGUGUAGAGGUGAAAUUCGUAGAUAUUAGGUGGAACACCAGUGGCGAAGGCGCCUAACUGGUCCGGUACUGACGCUGAGGAACGAAAGCGUGGGGAGCAAACAGGAUUAGAUACCCGGGUAGUC
rnacentral:rRNA from 1 species